rnacentral:misc_RNA from 1 species
UUUCCGUAGGUGAGCCUGCGGAAGGAUCAUUAUUGCAUAACCGAGGUGCGAGGGCUGUCGCUGACCCGAAAGGUCGUGCACGCCCGAGUGCCCUCACACACAUCCAUCUCACCCCUAUGUGCACCACCGCGUGGGUCCCCCUUUGGCUUGUUCGGAGGGGGGCUUACGUUUUCACACAAACUUUGUAUGCAGUGUAGAAUGUAUUUUUUGUUUUUGCGAUCACGCAAUCAAUACAACUUUCAACAACGGAUCUCUUGGUUCUG